AUGCGGCCUUGCAGCCUUGCCGAGGCCUUCCGGCCCGGUGCCCGGCCAGUCCAUGGCGCGAUGCAGCCUCCCACAGCCGGACGAGCUCAAGCCCGACCGGAUCCGCUCCAAAUCCGGCCGACGGGUGUGCAAAUCAGGUGGUCGUGGUUGGGUAGCUCGGGAGCUUCGAGGGAAAGAGCUAGGCGAGCGCGCGUCGAGCUGCACAGCUACAAAUGGCAGCGGCGACGGCGAGGGGCAAGAGUGGAGGGUGUUGAACAUACUAGUCCUUGUAUAUUGUGUAACUCGACCCACCUCCUAGUCCUUGUAUAG
rnacentral:rRNA from 1 species